AUUUCCCCCUUAUUUCCACAUACAGCACAUCUACUCCUAAGGAAAGUGGAACAUGUUCAUGCAAGACAUCAUGAGAUGACAGUACAGAAUACAGUUUCCAGCGUUGUUUUUUUAUUAGCAGUAGCUUCCAAGCAAGAUCUACAAACCCUAAAGAACUUGGAAGACAGAGAUAAAGAAGGAAAGUUUGGAAGAAGAACCCAUGAGUCAAUCUGUAUGCUCAGAACUAGAAAGAUAGCAACAGCUGCAAUGUGUCUGUUGGGCUGUGCUAAGAAAAUGUGGAGCUCUAAGCAGAGUAUUAUUAUAAACUCCUUCCUGGGGCUAACAUCUUUCCUGAUACGCCCUGUCAACUUUUGGGUUAGAUCGACUUGGGAUAUGGAUCUCCUGUUGUCUUAUCUCUACCUAUCAGAUAAUUAA
rnacentral:lncRNA from 1 species